GUCGAGAAUCUUUCACAAUGGGGGCAACCCUGAUGGAGCGACGCCGCGUGGAGGAUAAGGUCUUCGGAUUGUAAACUCCUGUCAUGCGAGAACAAGGUACUCAGGUUAAUAACCUGAAUGUUUGAUGGUACCGCAAGAGGAAGAGACGGCUAACUCUGUGCCAGCAGCCGCGGUAAUACAGAGGUCUCAAGCGUUGUUCGGAAUCACUGGGCGUAAAGGGUGCGUAGGCUGCGCCGUAAGUCAGAUGUGAAAGCUCAGGGCUCAACCCUGAAAUUGCAUCCGAUACUGCGGUGCUUGAGAAAUGAAGGGGAGUCUAGAAUUUUCGGUGUAGCAGUGAAAUGCGUAGAUAUCGAAAGGAAUACCAAAGGCGAAGGCAGGACUCUGGGCAUUUUCUGACGCUGAUGCACGAAGGCCAGGGUAGCGAACGGGAUUAGAAACCCUUGUAGUCC
rnacentral:rRNA from 1 species